UACGGAGGGUGCGAGCGUUGUCCGGAAUCACUGGGCGUAAAGGGUGCGUAGGCGGGUCUUUAAGUCAGGGGUGAAAUCCUGGAGCUCAACUCCAGAACUGCCUUUGAUACUGAGGAUCUUGAGUAUGGGAGAGGUGAGUGGAACUGCGAGUGUAGAGGUGAAAUUCGUAGAUAUUCGCAAGAACACCAGUGGCGAAGGCGGCUCACUGGCCCAUUACUGACGCUGAGGCACGAAAGCGUGGGGAGCAAACAGG
rnacentral:rRNA from 1 species